rnacentral:tRNA from 1 species
GGAUUAAUAGCCAAGCGGUCGAAGGCGUUGUACUUGAAAUACAAAAUGCAUUUAGCAUUCAGAGGUUCGAAUCCUCUUUAAUCCG